AGAGUUUGGAUCCUGGCUCAGAAUGAACGUUGGCGGCGUGGAUUAGGCAUGCAAGUCGAGCGCUCAUCAGCAAUGGUGGGAGCGGCGAACGGCGUAGUAAGACGUAGGAACGUACCCUCGGGACGGGGAUAGCUACGGGAAACUGUAGGUAAUACCCGAUAAUCUCUGCGGAGCAAAGGUGUGAUUCCGCCUGGGGAGCGGCUUACGCGAUAUUAGCUAGUUGGUGGGGUAAUGGCCUACCAAGGCGAUGAUGUCUAGGGGGUGUGAGAGCAUGGCCCCCACGACCGGAACUGAGAUACUGUCCGGACACCUACGGGUGGCUGCAGUCGAGAAUCUUCCGCAAUGGACGAAAGUCUGACGGAGCGACGCCGCGUGCGGGAUGAAGGCCCUUGGGUUGUAAACCGCUGUCAGAGGGGAUGAAAUCUUCGGAGGUACUCCUCCGAAGUUGACAGAGCCUCAAAGGAAGCACGGGCUAAGUACGUGCCAGCAGCCGCGGUAACACGUACUGUGCGAACGUUAUUCGGAAUCACUGGGCUUAAAGGGGCGUAGCGGGAU
rnacentral:rRNA from 1 species